rnacentral:rRNA from 1 species
UACGUAGGUGGCAAGCGUUGUCCGGAUUUAUUGGGUUUAAAGGGUGCGUAGGCGGCCCUGUAAGUCAGUGCUGAAAUACCCCGGCUUAACCGGGGGGGUGGCAUUGAUACUGCAGGGCUUGAGUACAGAUGAGGUAGGCGGAAUUGACGGUGUAGCGGUGAAAUGCGUAGAUAUCGGAAGGAACAUCAGUGGCGAAAGCGACUUCCUGGACCAGUACCGACGUUCAGGCACGAAAGCGUGGGGAGCAAACAGG